rnacentral:rRNA from 1 species
GGAGGGUGCAAGCGUUGUUCGGAAUUAUUGGGCGUAAAGAGCGUGUAGGCGGUUCGGUAAGUCAGAUGUGAAAGCCCUGGGCUCAACCCAGGAAGUGCAUUUGAAACUACCGGACUUGAGUACGGGAGAGGAGGGGGGAAUUCCCGGUGUAGAGGUGAAAUUCGUAGAUAUCGGGAGGAAUACCAGUGGCGAAGGCGCCCCUCUGGACCGAUACUGACGCUGAGACGCGAAAGCGUGGGGAGCAAACAGGAUUAGAUACCCUGGUAGUCCACGCCGUAAACGAUGAGCACUAGGUGUAGCGGGUAUUGACCCCCUGCUGUGCCGUAGCUAACGCAUUAAGUGCUCCGCCUGGGGACUACGGUCGCAAGACUA